rnacentral:rRNA from 1 species
UGGGGAAUCUUCCACAAUGGACGCAAGUCUGAUGGAGCAACGCCGCGUGAGUGAAGAAGGUCUUCGGAUCGUAAAACUCUGUUGUUAGAGAAGAACACGAGUGAGAGUAACUGUUCAUUCGAUGACGGUAUCUAACCAGCAAGUCACGGCUAACUACGUGCAG